rnacentral:rRNA from 1 species
CAAUAGCGUAUAUUAACGUUGUUGCAGUUAAAAAGCUCGUAGUUGGAUUUCUGGAGGGAGCGUCGGCCCGUAUUUACGAGUGCGUGACGUCUCUGUCCAUCCUUGCGGGAAGGCACGGCAUUGAUUUGUUGUGUCGGAUCGCAUCAUUUACUGUGAAAAAAUUAGAGUGUUCAAAGCAGGCUUUCGCUUGAAUACAUUAGCAUGGAAUAAUAAGGUAGGACUUUGGUGCUAUUUUGUUGGUUGAGCCUAAAGUAAUGAUUAAUAGGGAUAGUUGGGGGCACCUGUAUUGCGUUGUCAGAGGUGAAAUUCUUGGAUUUACGCAAGACAAACAGCUGCGAAAGCGUCUGCCAAGGAUGUUUUCAUUAA